UGAUGAUGGUGGAGCCAAAAGAGAAGGAAUACGGUGAGUCUACUCCACAAGAAGCCUUUGCACAGAUUCCAAGUGGUUGGGUCUCUGUGGGUUGUGUGCGGAUUACUUUAAUCAGGCUCUGGACAGAUGGAAAAAACUGGGGAACCAGAACAAGUUGCACUGGGACAAAUAUGUGCAAAGAAGCAAGGUCUACACUGAGAAGGUAACAAAGGAGCAGACCAAAUACUUAAAGGAUGGGAGGACAGACCCUGUCAUGCUGCUGCCACUCGUGUUGCUUUCACUGUGCUCACCCCUUCUGUCUUCAUGUCACCUUGUGAGACCUGUCACUAGUGGCUGGUGGCUGCAACUCUGCUCCAGAUUGCCCUGUGCUCAGCAGCCAAUGGGAAAGGAGGAUAGUACUUGUGCUUCACAGGGAUUUAACCCUGUCCACCCCCUGGCCCCUGCUCUGUGACGAGUACAAAUCCCAGACAGAGCUGUUACAGACAUCUGAACUGCAGUUCUUUGUUUUCAAGAAGUGGUUUUAUGCAGCUGUCAGAUUGUACUUCAAAGGAUUUUUCUAAAUUUACUUCUGAAAGAACAGAACAGCUCCAAUAUGCUGCUUUGCUGUCUGCACCAGGAGGUAUGAGUUUUCCUCUUGUGUGUCCACGGUGUGUGCUUGGCCCUGUGGGGUGUCCUCCUGGGCAUGGCCAGAUUUGGGCUGUUAAGUGUGGACUGUGAGAAGGAAAACAUAAAUAAAACAGAAGACAAAAUCA
rnacentral:lncRNA from 1 species